UUCUGGGGGAAAAUGUUACACAAUUAAACACCUCUUAGCAAGACUGAAAGUAGGUAUACACGUGAUGAACAGGA
rnacentral:snoRNA from 1 species